GUACAAGUGUCACGGGGUGACGAUUUUUCAGGGCGGAACCAAAAGUUGAAGAAGUUUGGUUCCGCCCGGAUGUUUCCGCCCCGACCGGAAAAACAGAAACACCGGACAUCCGGUGGCUCCGCGAAGGCUGUAAUCAGCCGAUUGGGCACAGCUGUGCCUAGUUGAAGAGAUCGCCGAGUAAUUGGAUAACUGGAGUACAAAGAGGAGUAUAAAAAGCGCCGUUAGAUGACAGUUGGGUUCGUUGUUAGUGUGUGCUGAGGAACGGAGCUGUGCUCAUUGUCAGACGUGGUGGCUGUCUGUAUUUCUCUCUCUCUCCCUCUCUCACUGUAGUUGACGGUGGACCUGCUGGAGUAAACGGAAAAUCCGAUGAGUAGAAAGGAACUUUGGUUUAACCAGUACUUUUGAAGGAGUAAAGCAGGAAGAAAACUGACCUUGUUGUACAACGUAAACAAAGGCUAUCCGCUGUGAGUAUACUUGUUUGGUGUGGAGUAAACUGCAGAGAUUAACCUGUGUGAUCGUUGGAGUCCUCGAGGAGGAAAACGGGCGGCCCUGCCCCUAUAAUAGCGUGGUGGGCGAGCCGCUGGAAGCAUAGAUCCAAAACAGCCACAGCAACGAGACUUUAUUUCGGUCGUGUUUGCCAUCGCCCCUAUUUAGCCCAAGCGCAGUGGAGGACACCGGGCGCUUUUCCUUGUGGUGUUGCACUUAUAGCGUGAGUCAGAGGCGAAAGAGUCCGCCGCCCCCGCGGUCCCUACAAAGGGGCGCCCCUGUCCAGGAUUCGAUCGGCCUACGGGCAGUGGAGAUAGGGCAGCGCUCGACCCGGUGAGGUGGUGUGUGACCUUCGCCCCUCUGCUGACCUACGGAGAAGAAAAAGCCAUACCUAUCCAGAAAGCUGUAUGCAGCAGAGCCGCGGCCACCUGUGGAGAGAGAGAAGAACGAGAGUGAACCAUUGAAGGAUAGACUGUGAACGUGAUAACUACCCAGAAAGCUGUACGCAGCAGAACCGGUGAGACAUACUCGAAGUCCAAGUAACAGUACCUUUGUGUCCUAGUGGCCGCCUGAGGAGAGAAAGGAGGACGAGAGUGAACAAUCGGAGGACAGACGGUGUAACGCGCUACCUACCCCGAGAGCUGUAAGCGGCAGAACCGGUGAGAAGCAUACCAAAUCCACACUAACCGUGUUUCUGUGUCGCAGUGAACACCUGCGGGGGACGUGAAGGCACGUGGGGCGAGGACCCCCUGCCGGACCGAGGAAAGGUUCACGGACAGUGGAAAAUCUCCUACCAGUCACACCGAAAUUGUUCUGCCUCCGGGAAAGAAGAAGGAGGGCGCCACGGUUAACAGGGUCCAGGCCGGAGCCUGACGAUUCCCUCUUUCUCCCGGCUUAUGGUGGUUGACACCCCUGUUGCCCUUGCCCCUGUCUGCCCGUGGCUGCAGUCUCCCUGGAGGGAGGAGAAGAAGCCUAUUAGUUUUAAAUCCCCCUUUCCCCAAUUCCCCAGUUCUUUUAAAUAUUUAAAUUCAAUAAAGCUUGUUUUAAAUUUUA